ensembl:misc_RNA 7SK 7SK RNA
GGGUAUGAGGGUGAUCUGGCUGUGACAUCUGUCACCCCAUUGAUCAUUGAUCGCCAGGGUUGAUUUGGCUGAUCUGGCUGGCUAGGUGGGUGUCCUCUUCCGUGCCCUUACAGCUCAAAGUACUUCCCUCCCCAAACUGCCUUCCCUGAAUAGAAACAGACCGGUCCUUCAGGUAUAGGAGUAGCUGCACUCCCCAGCUACAACCUCCAAACUAGCUCUCUCACAGCUGCUAUGAUUUCAGUUCUAGUUAAGACAAAAUCCAGCAGACACCUACAUGGACCAAACUUCCCU